UAUCCUUCUUCUUCUUCUUCUUCUUUCUUCUUCUUCUUCUUCUUCCUCUUCUGGGCAAAAUUUGGCGACGAGCAACUUCGUGAUAAACAGGGCGACAGCAAAGAAAAGUCCCACUCCAAGAA
rnacentral:ribozyme from 10 species